rnacentral:rRNA from 1 species
UACGAAGGGGGCUAGCGUUGCUCGGAAUCACUGGGCGUAAAGCGCACGUAGGCGGCUUUUUAAGUCAGAGGUGAAAUCCUGGAGCUCAACUCCAGAACUGCCUUUGAUACUGGAGAGCUUGAGUCCGGGAGAGGUGAGUGGAACUGCGAGUGUAGAGGUGAAAUUCGUAGAUAUCGAGAGGAACACCAGAGGUGAAGACGGGUUGCUGGGCCGACACUGACGCUGACAGCGCGAAAGCCAGGGGAGCAAACGGG